AGAACCUUACCAGCCCUUGACAUCCCGGUCGCGGGAACGAGAGAUCGAUCCCUUCAGUUCGGCUGGACCGGAGACAGGUGCUGCAUGGCUGUCGUCAGCUCGUGUCGUGAGAUGUUGGGUUAAGUCCCGCAACGAGCGCAACCCCCGCCCUUAGUUGCCAUCAUUUAGUUGGGCACUCUAAGGGGACUGCCGGUGAUAAGCCGCGAGGAAGGUGGGGAUGACGUCAAGUCCUCAUGGCCCUUACGGGCUGGGCUACACACGUGCUACAAUGGCGGUGACAGUGGGAUGCAAUGGAGCAAUCCUGCGCAAAUCUCAAAAAGCCGUCUCAGUUCGGAUUGUGCUCUGCAACUCGAGCACAUGAAGUCGGAAUCGCUAGUAAUCGCGGAUCAGAAUGCCGCGGUGAAUACGUUCCCGGGCCUUGUCACACCGA
rnacentral:rRNA from 1 species